rnacentral:rRNA from 1 species
UAGCUACAGGCUUAACACAUGCAAGUCGAGGGGAAACGAUAUUGGAAGCUUGCUUCCGAUAGGCGUCGACCGGCGCACGGGUGAGUAACGCGUAUCCAACCUGCCCACCACUUGGGGAUAACCUUGCGAAAGUAAGACUAAUACCCAAUGAAAUCUCUAGAAGACAUCUGAAAGAGAUUAAAGAUUUAUCGGUGAUGGAUGGGGAUGCGUCUGAUUAGCUUGUUGGCGGGGUAACGGCCCACCAAGGCAACGAUCAGUAGGGGUUCUGAGAGGAAGGUCCCCCACAUUGGAACUGAGACACGGUCCAAACUCCUACGGGAGGCAGCAGUGAGGAAUAUUGGUCAAUGGGCGAGAGCCUGAACCAGCCAAGUAGCGUGCAGGAAGACGGCCCUAUGGGUUGUAAACUGCUUUUAUAAGGGAAUAAAGUGGGAGUCGUGACUCUUUUUGCAUGUACCUUAUGAAUAAGGACCGGCUAAUUCCGUGCCAGCAGCCGCGGUAAUACGGAAGGUCCGGGCGUUAUCCGGAUUUAUUGGGUUUAAAGGGAGCGUAGGCCGGAGAUUAAGCGUGUUGUGAAAUGUAGAUGCUCAACGUCUGCACUGCAGCGCGAACUGGUUUCCUUGAGUACGCACAAAGUGGGCGGAAUUCGUGGUGUAGCGGUGAAAUGCUUAGAUAUCACGAAGAACUCCGAUUGCGAAGGCAGCUUACUGGAGCGCAACUGACGCUGAAGCUCGAAAGUGCGGGUAUCGAACAGGAUUAGAUACCCUGGUAGUCCGCACGGUAAACGAUGGAUGCCCGCUGUUGGUCUGAAUAGGUCAGCGGCCAAGCGAAAGCAUUAAGCAUCCCACCUGGGGAGUACGCCGGCAACGGUGAAACUCAAAGGAAUUGACGGGGGCCCGCACAAGCGGAGGAACAUGUGGUUUAAUUCGAUGAUACGCGAGGAACCUUACCCGGGCUUGAAUUGCAGAGGAAGGAUUUGGAGACAAUGACGCCCUUCGGGGUCUCUGUGAAGGUGCUGCAUGGUUGUCGUCAGCUCGUGCCGUGAGGUGUCGGCUUAAGUGCCAUAACGAGCGCAACCCCUCUCCUUAGUUGCCAUCAGGUCAUGCUGGGCACUCUGGGGACACUGCCACCGUAAG